AGUGAACGCUGGCGGCAGGCCUAACACAUGCAAGUCGAGCGGCAGCGCGUCCGACCACCCUCGGGUGGUCGGAUGGCGGCGAGCGGCGGACGGGUGAGGAAUGCAUCGGAAUCUGCCUCGUUGUGGGGGAUAACGUAGGGAAACUUACGCUAUUACCGCAUACGACCUACGGGUGAAAGUGGGGGACCUUCGGGCCUCACGCGAUGAGAUGAGCCGAUGCCGGAUUAGCUAGUUGGCGGGGUAAAGGCCCACCAAGGCGACGAUCAGUAGCGGGUCUGAGAGGAUGAUCCGCCACACUGGGACUGAGACACGGCCCAGACUCCUACGGGAGGCAGCAGUGGGGAAUUUUGGACAAUGGGGGAAACCCUGAUCCAGCCAUUCCGCGUGAGUGAAGAAGGCCUCGGUUGUAAGA
rnacentral:rRNA from 1 species